rnacentral:pre_miRNA from 1 species
GAAGUACUCCCUCCGUUCGGAAUUACUUGUCGUAGAAAUGAAUGUAUCUAGAUGUAUUUUAGUUCUAAAUACAUCUAUUUCCGAGACAAGUAAUUUCGAACGGAGGGAGUAGCAA